rnacentral:rRNA from 1 species
AACCCAAAUUAAUACUCAUCGGCGUAAAGCGUGUUUAGGAUAACCCAACAAAUAAAGUUAAACCAAGACUAGGCCGUAAAAAGCUACAGUCAAAAUAAAAUACACGACUAAAGUGACUUUAACAACUCCGAACACACGAUAGCUAAGACCCAAACUGGGAUUAGAUACCCCACUAUGCCUAGCCCUAAACCCAAACAUUUAAUCAACUAAAAUGUUCGCCAGAGCACUACUAGCAACAGCCUAAAACUUAAAGGACUUGGCGGUGCUUCACACCCUCCUAGAGGAACCUGUCCUAUAAUCGACAAACCCCGAUAAACCUCACCACCCCUAGCCAACA